rnacentral:rRNA from 1 species
GAGUUUGAUUCUGGCUCAGGAUGAACGCUGGCGGUAUGCCUUAUACAUGCAAGUCGUACGAGAGUUUUUAGCUCAAGUGGCGGACGGGUGAGUAACACGUAAGAAUUUGCCUUUAGGAGGGGGACAACAACUGGAAACGGUUGCUAAUACCCCAUAUGCUUUCGAGUGAAAUGGUUUUUCCGCCUAAAGAGAAGCUUGCGGCUGAUUAGCUUGUUGGUAGAGUAAUAGCCUACCAAGGCGACGAUCAGUAUCUGGUUUGAGAGGACGAUCAGACACACUGGAACUGAGACACGGUCCAGACUCCUACGGGAGGCAGCAGUAGGGAAUUUUCCGCAAUGGGCGAAAGCCUGACGGAGCAAUACCGCGUGAGGGAUGACUGCCUAUGGGUUGUAAACCUCUUUUUUCAGGGAGGAAUAAAUGACGUGUACCUGAAGAAUAAGCAUCGGCUAACUCCGUGCCAGCAGCCGCGGUAAGACGGAGGAUGCAAGUGUUAUCCGGAAUCACUGGGCGUAAAGCGUCUGUAGGUGGUCAAAUAAGUCAACUGUUAAAUCUUGGGGCUCAACCUCAAAAUCGCAGUCGAAACUAUUAGGCUAGAGUAUAGUAGAGGUAAAGGGAAUUUCCAGUGGAGCGGUGAAAUGCGUAGAGAUUGGAAAGAACACCGAUGGCGAAGGCACUUUACUGGGCUAUUACUGACACUCAGAGACGAAAGCUAGGGUAGCAAAUGGGAUUAGAUACCCCAGUAGUCCUAGCCGUAAACAAUGGAUACUAGGUGUUGAACAGAUCGAUCUGUGCAGUACUAAAGCUAACGCGUUAAGUAUCCCGCCUGGGAAGUAUGCACGCAAGUGUGAAACUCAAAGGAAUUGACGGGGGCCCGCACAAGCGGUGGAGCAUGUGGUUUAAUUCGAUGCAACGCGAAGAACCUUACCAGGGUUUGACAUGAUACGAAUUUCUUUGAAAAAAGAAAGUGCCUUUUGGAACGUAUACACAGGUGGUGCAUGGCUGUC